UACGGAGGAUCCAAGCGUUAUCCGGAUUUAUUGGGUUUAAAGGGUGCGUAGGUGGGAGAGUAAGUCAGAGGUGAAAGCUAGCAGCUUAACUGUUAAAUUGCCUUUGAUACUGCUUUUCUUGAGUAUAGUUGGCGUUGGCGGAAUGUGACAUGUAGCGGUGAAAUGCGUAGAUAUGUCACAGAACACCGAUCGCGAAGGCAGCUAACGAAGCUAUCACUGACACUGAUGCACGAAAGCAUGGGGAGCAAACAGG
rnacentral:rRNA from 1 species